ACGAACGCUGGCGGCAUGCCUAACACAUGCAAGUCGAACGAGACCUUCGGGUCUAGUGGCGCACGGGUGCGUAACGCGUGGGAACCUGCCCUUAGGUUCGGAAUAACUCCCCGAAAGGGGUGCUAAUACCGGAUAAUGUCUUCGGACCAAAGAUUUAUCGCCUUUGGAUGGGGCCGCGUUGGAUUAGCUAGUUGGUAGGGUAAAAGCCUACCAAGGCGACGAUCCAUAGCUGGUCUGAGAGGAUGAUCAGCCACCCUGGGACUGAGACACGGCCCAGACCCCUACGGGAGGCAGGCGUGGGGAAUAUUGGACAAUGGGCGAAAGCCUGAUCCAGCAAUGCCGCGUGAGUGAUGAAGGACUUAGGGUUGUAAAGCUCUUUUACCCGGGAUGAUAAUGACAUUACCGUGAGAAUAAGCCCCGGCUAACUCCGUG
rnacentral:rRNA from 1 species